rnacentral:other from 1 species
CACCGGCCAGGACAGCAGACGGACAGGUUAGCUUCGGGGUUUCGCGAGCGUGAGAGGUAAGCGCCGCGGCCUGCGGCUCCGGGCCCACUUUUCCAGGCCCUGCCUUCGCCUUGCUGGCGGCUCCUACCGACCUCGGGCCCCUGUCGCUUCCAGGUCGGGAAGCUCGCUGCGUUUCUGUGCUGCGGCCUGUGGCUCGAUUGCCCGCGACGCCUGCCUGCCUGCCUGCCUGCCAGCCAGCCAUCCCAGUGGCACACGGCGCCGGCAAGAUGAAGCUCUCCCUGGUGGCUGCGGUGCUGCUG